UUAAAGAUUGCUUUUAUAGAUUUAAAAUUUGAUUAUGGUUUUAAAAUUAUUAAAAUAGUAUUAUUUAAUUUUAAUUUAUUUAAUGGGCAAUAAAAUUUUACCCUGGUAAUUUGUUAUUUGUAUAAUACUUGUUCCAGAAUAAUCGGCUAGGCUUGUUAAAAUUUAAACUUUAUUUUGUUUUAAUUAUAAUUGUUUGUUUAGUUUUUAAAUAAUUAUAGGUUAAAUUUUAAUUAUUUUAUGUGUAUAAUUAUAAUUUUAAAUUUUGAAAAUCGAAUUAGAUUAGUACCUAAUUAGUCAAAAGUUAAAAGAGCAGGAGUAAAGUAAAAUUUAAACUGAAAGAAUAUUGGCAGAUUUUCUAAAUUAUCUUUGGAGGUUGAGUAAUAAUUGAGAACCCUCAUUAACUACUUUUUUAGUGGUCUCAUGUAUGAUCGUUUAUUAUAUGCUUAAGGUAUAUAAUUAAAAAUUAUUUAUUUAUAAAAAUAGAUAUAUAUUUGGUUUAUAUAAAAGUAAUAUUUGACCUACAAUAAUUUGUAAUUGUGAAUCUACUUUUUAGUAAAGUAGUGAAAAUGUAAAAGACAGUAAAAAAAUUUUUAUGGUUUUUUGAAGAUUAUUUAGAAGUGGUACAAAUCAUCCAUCAAUUGCCCAAAGGGGAGUAAGUUGUAGUAAAGUAGAUUUAGGGGAACCUGUAUCUAGUAAU
rnacentral:ncRNA from 1 species